rnacentral:rRNA from 1 species
CAGUCGCCGCGGUAACACGAAGGGGGCUAGCGUUGCUCGGAAUUACUGGGCGUAAAGGGAGCGUAGGCGGAUCGUUAAGUUGGGGGUGAAAGCCCGGGGCUCAACCUCGGAACUGCCUUCAAUACUGGCGAUCUUGAGUAUGAGAGAGGUGUGUGGAACUCCGAGUGUAGAGGUGAAAUUCGUAGAUAUUCGGAAGAACACCAGUGGCGAAGGCGACACACUGGCUCAUUACUGACGCUGAGGCUCGAAAGCGUGGGGAGCAAACAGGAUUAGAUACCCCGGUAGUCCCUGUCUCUUAUAC